rnacentral:rRNA from 1 species
CAGCCGCCGCGGUAAUACAGAGGGUGCGAGCGUUAAUCGGAUUUACUGGGCGUAAAGCGUGCGCAGGCGGUUAUAUAAGACAGAUGUGAAAUCCCCGGGCUCAACCUGGGAACUGCAUUUGUGACUGUAUAGCUAGAGUACGGCAGAGGGGGAUGGAAUUCCGCGUGUAGCAGUGAAAUGCGUAGAUAUGCGGAGGAACACCGAUGGCGAAGGCAAUCCCCUGGGCCUGUACUGACGCUCAUGCACGAAAGCGUGGGGAGCAAACAGUAUUAGAUACCCCCGUAGUCCCUGUCUCUUAUAC